UACAGAGGAGCCAAGCGUUGUCCGGAUUGACUGGGCGUAAAGCGCACGCAGGCGGUCGCGCGCGUGGGGUGUGAAAUCUGGCCGCUUAACGGCCAGGCGCCAUCCCAUACGGCGCGACUGGAGUGAUGCAGAGGUCGGUGGAAUUGCCGGUGUAGUGGUGAAAUGCGUAGAGAUCCGGAAGAACACCGGAGGCGAAGGCGGCUUGCUGGGCGUGAUCUGACGCUGAGGCGCGAAAGCGUGGGGAGCGAACAGG
rnacentral:rRNA from 1 species